GGACGCUUAGCUCAGCUGGGAGAGCACCUGCCUUACAAGCAGGGGUCACAGGUUCGAUCCCUGUAGCGUCCA
rnacentral:tRNA from 2 species